rnacentral:rRNA from 1 species
AGUGAACGCUGGCGGUAGGCCUAACACAUGCAAGUCGAACGGCAGCACAGUAAGAGCUUGCUCUUACGGUUGGCGAGUGGCGGACGGGUGAGGAAUACAUCGGAAUCUACUUUUUCGUGGGGGAUAACGUAGGGAAACUUACGCUAAUACCGCAUACGACCUACGGGUGAAAGCAGGGGAUCUUCGGACCUUGCGCGACUGAAUGAGCCGAUGUCGGAUUAGCUAGUUGGCGGGGUAAAGGCCCACCAAGGCGACGCUCCGUAGCUGGUCUGAGAGGAUGGUCAGCCACCCUGGAACUGGGACACGGUCCAGACUCCUACGGGAGGCAGCAGUGGGGAAUAUUGGACAAUGGGCGCAAGCCUGAUCCAGCCAUACCGCGUGGGUGAAGAAGGCCUUCGGGUUGUAAAGCCCUUUUGUUGGGAAAGAAAAGCAGCAGGUUAAUACCCCGCUGUUCUGACGGUACCCAAAGAAUAAGCACCGGCUAACUUCGUGC